CAUGUCUGUUGCUCAUAGUCACCACGCAGGGCAGCUUUAGCAGCCUUCAGGGAACGGACUAAGUCACCUUGUUUGGUUAUCUCGUUGUUAAGAGAAGACACGUCCUCUUUGGGAGCAGCAUAUGCAGUUGGAGCCGCGCCUGGUUUCCAAUCCUUUAAACAAGUUAUUUUUCUUUAUUAAAGAGUUUGGAAAGGAAA